rnacentral:rRNA from 1 species
UACGUAGGGUGCAAGCGUUAAUCGGAAUUACUGGGCGUAAAGCGUGCGCAGGCGGUUGUGCAAGACCGAUGUGAAAUCCCCGGGCUCAACCUGGGAAUGGCAUUGGUGACUGCACGGCUAGAGUGUGUCAGAGGGGGGGUAGAAUUCCACGUGUAGCAGUGAAAUGCGUAGAGAUGUGGAGGAAUACCGAUGGCGAAAGGCAGCCCCCCUGGGAUAACACUGACGCUCAUGCACGAAAGCGUGGGGAGCAAACAGG